GAUGAACGCUGGCGGCGUGCCUAAUACAUGCAAGUCGAGCGAACGGACGAGAAUCUUGCUUCUCUGAUGUUAGCGGCGGACGGGUGAGUAACACGUGGAUAACCUACCUAUAAGACUGGGAUAACUUCGGGAAACCGGCGCUAAUACCGGAUAAUAUUUUGAACCGCAUGGUUCAAAAGUGAAAGACGGUCUUGCUGUCACUUAUAGAUGGAUCCGCGCUGCAUUAGCUAGUUGGUAAGGUAACGGCUUACCAAGGCAACGAUGCAUAGACGACCUGAGAGGGUGAUAGGCCACACUGGAACUGAGACACGGUCCAGACUCCUACGGGAGGGAGCAGUAGGGAAUCUUCCGCAAUGGGCGAAAGCAUGACGGAGCAACGCCGCGUGAGUGAUGAAGGUCUUCGGAUCGUAAAACUCUGUUAUUAGGGAAGAACAGAUGUGUAAGUAACUGUGCACAUCUUGACGGUACCUAAUCAGAAAGCCACGGCUAACUACGUG
rnacentral:rRNA from 1 species